rnacentral:rRNA from 1 species
UACGGAGGGUGCAAACGUUGCUCGGAAUCAUUGGGCGUAAAGCGCACGUAGGCGGUUCAGAAAGUCGGGUGUGAAAUCCCUCGGCUUAACCGAGGAAGUGCAUUCGAAACUACUGGACUUGAGUACUGAAGAGGAUCGCGGAAUUCCCGGUGUAGAGGUGAAAUUCGUAGAUAUCGGGAGGAACACCAGUGGCGAAGGCGGCGAUCUGGGCAGAUACUGACGCUGAGGUGCGAAAGCGUGGGGAGCAAAC